AGUAAAUCAGGCGGUUGCGGGUAUAGAAAUAUACGUGAGGAAAGUCCGGGCUUCAUAGAGCAGGGUGCCGGUUAACGGCCGGUGAAGGUGACUUCAAGGAAAGUGCAACAGAAAAUAAACGCCGAAUUUUCGGUAAGUGUGGAAAUGUGAGGUAAGAGCUCACAGGGAUGAUGGUAACUGAAUUCCCGUGUAAACCCCACCCGAAGCAACAUCGACUGUGCAAUUAAGUCUGCUCGGCAAUGCACGACUGAUGGCAUGAACAAAAGGGUAACCUUUUGUCACAGACAGAUAACCGUCCACGACAGAACCCGGCUUACGAUU
rnacentral:RNase_P_RNA from 1 species